GACGAACGCUGGCGGCGUGCUUAACACAUGCAAGUCGUACGGUAAGGCCCUUUCGGGGGUACACGAGUGGCGAACGGGUGCGUAACACGUGAGUAACCUGCCCACAACUUUGGGAUAACGCUAGGAAACUGGUGCUAAUACUGGAUAUGUGCUCCUGCUGCAUGGUGGGGGUUGGAAAGCUCCGGCGGUUGUGGAUGGACUCGCGGCCUAUCAGCUUGUUGGUGGGGUAGUGGCCUACCAAGGCGGCGACGGGUAGCCGGCCUGAGAGGGUGACCGGCCACUUUGGGCCUGGGAUACGGCCCGGACCCCUCCGGGGGGCAGCGGUGGGGAAUAUUGCACAAUGGGCGCAAGCCGGAUGCAGCACCGCCGCGUGCGGGAUGACGGCCUUCGGGUUGUAAACCGCUUUCAGCGGGGACGAAGUUUUUUGUGCCGGUACCUGCAGAAGAAGCACCGGCUAACUCCGU
rnacentral:rRNA from 1 species